UUGAACGCUGGCGGAAUGCUUUACACAUGCAAGUCGGGCGGCAGCGCGGGGGCAACCCUGGCGGCGAGCGGCGAACGGGUGAGUAACAUAUCGGAACGUACCCAGACGUGGGGGACAACUAGUCGAAAGACUAGCUAAUACCACAUACGUCCUGAGGGAGAAAGCGGGGGAUCGCAAGACCUCGCGCGUUUGGAGCGGCCGAUAUCUGAUUAGCUAGAUGGUGGGGUAAAGGCCCACCAUGGCGACGAUCAGUAGCUGGUCUGAGAGGAUGAUCAGCCACUCUGGAACUGAGACACGGUCCAGACUCCUACGGGAGGCAGCAGUGGGGAAUUUUGGACAAUGGGGGAAACCCUGAUCCAGCCAUUCCGCGUGAGUGAAGAAGGCCUUCGGGUUGUAAAGCUCUUUCGGCAGGAACGAAACGGCGGAAUCUAAUACAUUCCACUAAUGACGGUACCUGAAGAAGAAGCACCGGCUAACUACGU
rnacentral:rRNA from 1 species